UCCCCGGUAGCUCAGUCGGCAGAGCUCUCGAUUGUUAAUCGAGCGGUCAUUGGUUCGAAUCCAUUUCGGGGAG
rnacentral:tRNA from 1 species